rnacentral:rRNA from 1 species
AUUGAACGCUGGCGGCAGGCCUAACACAUGCAAGUCGAGCGGAUGAAGAGAGCUUGCUCUCUGAUUCAGCGGCGGACGGGUGAGUAAUGCCUAGGAAUCUGCCUGGUAGUGGGGGACAACGUUUCGAAAGGAACGCUAAUACCGCAUACGUCCUACGGGAGAAAGCAGGGGACCUUCGGGCCUUGCGCUAUCAGAUGAGCCUAGGUCGGAUUAGCUAGUUGGUGAGGUAAUGGCUCACCAAGGCGACGAUCCGUAACUGGUCUGAGAGGAUGAUCAGUCACACUGGAACUGAGACACGGUCCAGACUCCUACGGAGGCAGCAGUGGGAAUAUUGGACAAUGGCGAAAGCCUAGAUCCAGCCAUGCCGCGUGUGUGAAGA